UCCCCUGUAGCUCAGUGGCAGAGCGUUCGACUGUUAAUCGAAAUGUCCCUGGUUCGAAUCCAGGUGGGGGAGC
rnacentral:tRNA from 1 species